rnacentral:rRNA from 1 species
ACUCCUACGGGAGGCAGCAGUGGGGAAUUUUGGACAAUGGGCGCAAGCCUGAUCCAGCAAUGCCGCGUGCAGGAAGAAGGCCUUCGGGUUGUAAACUGCUUUUGUACGGAACGAAACGGCUCUGGUUAAUACCCCGGGGCUAAUGACGGUACCGUAAGAAUAAGCACCGGCUAACUACGUGCCAGCAGCCGCGGUAAUACGUAGGGUGCAAGCGUUAAUCGGAAUUACUGGGCGUAAAGCGUGCGCAGGCGGUUGUGUAAGACAGGCGUGAAAAUCCCCGGGCUCAACCUGGGAAUGGGCGCUUGUGACUGCACGGCUGGAGUGCGGCAGAGGGGGAUGGAAUUCCGCGUGUAGCAGUGAAAUGCGUAGAUAUGCGGAGGAACACCGAUGGCGAAGGCAAUCCCCUGGCCUGCACUGACGCUCAUGCACGAAAAGCGUGGGGAGCAAACAGGAUUAGAUACCCUGGUAGGUG